UACGGGGGGGAGCAAGCGUUGUUCGGAUUUACUGGGCGUAAAGGGCGCGUAGGCGGCCAGCACAAGUCAGUUGUGAAAUCUCCGGGCUUAACUCGGAAAGGUCAACUGAUACUGUGCGGCUAGAGUGCAGAAGGGGCAACUGGAAUUCUCGGUGUAGCGGUGAAAUGCGUAGAUAUCGAGAGGAACACCAGUGGCGAAGGCGAGUCCCCUGGACAACACCUGACACUGAGGCACGAAAGCUAGGGGAGCAAACAGG
rnacentral:rRNA from 1 species